AGUGAACGCUGGCGGUAGGCCUAACACAUGCAAGUCGAACGGCAGCACAGUAAGAGCUUGCUCUUACGGGUGGCGAGUGGCGGACGGGUGAGGAAUACAUCGGAAUCUACUUUUUCGUGGGGGAUAACGUAGGGAAACUUACGCUAAUACCGCAUACGACCUACGGGUGAAAGCAGGGGAUCUUCGGACCUUGCGCGAUUGAAUGAGCCGAUGUCGGAUUAGCUAGUUGGCGGGGUAAAGGCCCACCAAGGCGACGAUCCGUACCUGGUCUGAGAGGAUGAUCAGCCACACUGGAACUGAGACACGGUCCAGACUCCUACGGGAGGCAGCAGUGGGGAAUAUUGGACAAUGGGCGCAAGCCUGAUCCAGCCAUACCGCGUGGGUGAAGAGGGCCUUCGGGUUGUAAAGCCCUUUUGUUGGGAAAGAAAAGCAGCAGGUUAAUACCCCGCUGUUCUGACGGUACCCAAAGAAUAAGCACCGGCUAACUUCAUG
rnacentral:rRNA from 1 species